AUUCUGCAAGCACCUGGUUCCAUGCUUUAUUUCAGCUACUAUAGACUUCUAAGCAGUUUGGACUAAAGCGCACAGAACCUUACUAAGACAAAUUGUAAGCCAAAACAUCUGGGGGCUCACAUCUGCCCACUUCUGUUUUACACCAUGACUGUUUCAUUCCUAAAAGUUCAUCCAGAUUGAGGCUAGUGUACUACCAUAUAAUAGUUUCAGAAUGCAGAUUAACUGUAUUCUGAAACUGCAUUAUAUGGCAGUGUAGAUCCAACCCCAGAGAGAAAAAUGUGGAUCAGAGUAUUAAAUCAGGUGGAAAUCAUAACUGAAAAUUUAUAAAUACAAUUCAGGUAUCCAAAUAGAAGGAGCAAGCAAAAUGAACAAAAGAAUACGAACACAGUAAAUAGAGUUCUAAAUGUGGAAAAUAUUCAGAAUCAAUGCUAGAAAUGUGAAGAGUGAGGCCCCAUCUACACUGCCAUACAAUUCACUUUCUGAUGCAGAUUAACUGCACUGAACAGGAUAAUAGGGCAGUGUAGACUCACAUAAUCCAAUUCAAAGCAGUUAAUAUGCAUUCUGAAAUUGGAUUAUAUGGCAGUGUAGAUUCAGCCUGUAAGAAAAUGUAAAUUGUUAGGGGAAGAUUUUUAUUUGGGAGGGGAAGAAUGCCCUCAUGUUUGCCCAACUACAAUGUAACUACACCUCUGGGAAUGGCAUUUUAAGUGGAAUAUUGUGAGAUAUUCCAUGUUCUCACUUACUUUGGAAAAAUCUUGACUGAGCACUGUGGCAAUGUGCUUCAAGUCGUUUUCAAACUAUGGCGACUCGAUCAUAAGAGUUUUCUUGGCAAGGUUUAUUCAGAGCGGGUUUGCCUUUGCCUUCCUGUGGGGGUGAGAGAGGAUGAUUCAAACCCUGGUUUUCAAAGCCAUAGUACAGUGUUCAAACCAUUACACUUCAUGAGCUCUCUCUCUCUUCUAGCUUAAAAUGUAUAGGAUCUGGCUGCACAAUAGAGUGCUUAGCAUAUUUUAGGGGGAACAAAUUCUCACUGAAAUCAAUAGCAAGGACUGAGCUGUAAUUAUCUUUCAACUAUCCCAUGGCAACCCAUUAGUUUUAUAGCCCAGGCUAUUAAAUGGGGGAAAAUGUUUAAGUUAAAGGCAAUUCAUGCCUUUGGUGUGUUUCCCUUGUAAAAACGCUCUCACUGUGGGGACUUCUUUUAUUUAACCUCAUUUUUAUGCUGCUUCUCUUUUACUUUAGAUUUACUAGUUCUGGAAGAAAGCCUCCUUCUCAAUAGGCAACAUGAUUUUGAGAUGCUUCGGACAGGCAGAGGACCAGUUUUCACUUGACGUCUGGGGAGGGAAGAGAAUAACCCUGGCUAUGCUGAACACAAUGAAACACUGGACUAUCUGAUGGAUCAGGGCCUGUUACUGAAUCAGAUCCUAACCCAGGAUGGCUCUGAACAGCAGCUGUGUGACCACAGAAGCAGGUGGGUUUUUUAAAAAAAAAAUUACCUUAUUUGUUGGAGGCUGGGGCACUGGGGCCUAUAUGCUCCCAUUUUUAAAGAUCACCUGAUUAUGAAGAUGAUCAUGUCAGAAGCGACUUGAGAACAUACUGCAAGUCACUUCUGAAACUCCUCCUUCAGAAGUUUAGCAUAACAAACAAACAAAUCCUCCUUCAGGAGCUAGAGGAGAGACCUCCAAGUCCUCCUGAGCAAAGACGAAUUAAGCAUUUCAUACAGCAAAAGGUGACAUAUCUAUAGCUGUGGGAGACCAUCUCUAAAUACUAUAGGCCAGGGCAUGUGGGCUGAGCUGAAGCUUGUUAAAAACAAACACGCAUCUCCCUGGAUAGGUCUGAAAGCAACUUCAGCUCAACUCAUGAUUCCUGGACCCUGCUGUUGUACAUCUCAGAUUUACAUUGUGCUUGGAUUACCCACUGACUUCUUUACAUGGUUAACGGCUUCUUGACCUGGACACUAGUAUUGCAGAUUUUGUGUUUCCAAACGCUUGUAAGAACAGGACAUAUACAACACGCCAAUUCAUCAGUCCUCUGUCUAGGCACGUACCCAUUUAAAUUUUAGACACACUUUUUCCACCCUCAGACAUCCUUUCUGGACGAUGAGAACAUCAUUUCCAAUUUUAUCUUGUCUGCACAUGGUUGAUUUAUAUUUGCUAAUGAAAUAAAAACUGCAUUGGUAUGCCGUAUGCUCACCUCAGUGCUGCCUCUGCCAAUUCCUCAGUCAAAUAAAAUUUACAGAAGUGAUGUAUAGGACUACAUAUAAGCUACUUGAGUGGGUUUUUACUUUGAAGCCAUCACAAUUGAAAUGCAUUCCCGUAACAGUGAUGUCUUCCACAGCACAAUGCCCUUGUGUGUGAAAUGUUAAGCCAGCAUUAAAACUGUCACAGCUUCAGAUCCACUGCCUUAUUCUGACAUCACCAGGGACUGUGCUUCAGACUGACAUGUUUCAUGUCUUUCCCUUCCUUCCCAAAUAUCCUCCUACCUUGCCACAAAUACCCAACUAGACAAGCUGUUGCUACUCCAAAACAUCAUUACUAAUACCAAUUUGGAGGCUGGAAACACUAAAGGCUAACAUUUGGACAUCUACCCCAGCUGUUAGCACAAAUGUACAGGCAAGAGUCAGGAUACAGAAGGGAAAGGAGCUGUACCCAGAGCCUGGAAACGUUACUUACAUUAACUACAAAUCUGAGGAAAUACAGAAAGGGACAUGGGCAAAACUUGGCAAAAUUACAGUACUUGUUUUAAUUGCAACUGUAGAAUUCUCUUACAACCAGCAAUGCCUUUGGGUGGGGGAUUCUGGGAGUUGCCAUCCAAAACAACAUUUUAGGAAUGGGAUCUUUCAAGGUGCCAUCCAAAGUGUAUGCCUUCUUUCUUCCUCUAUUAAUCUAGAAAUUCCAAAAAAAGAGGGAGACUACAGAGGUUUCUAUAGUGUUCUGUGGCCCCCAUAAUUCCUUUCCAGAGACAUUGCAACCUUAUUCAUUUCAAGAAUGCUUGUGUUAUGAAAAAAUUCAUGACAGAGGGAACAGUGGUGCGUCCUACCAAAUUCAACUCAAUGGAGCUACAGCCACUUACUUAAAUACUACAUUUGAUAACUGUCUGAAUACAUAAUCAUAGAGGGUGGUAAAUUCAUUCAUUAAUUUGAUUUAUUUGAUUUCUUCGGCUUAGAAAUGGAGAUGUGCACCUUUCUCCCAAAAUGGGAACCCAAAGUGCCUUACAAAACAAAACAGUCACUCAGGUCAAUCCUGCAAUUCUGCACUUACCCGAAACUGCUAAAUGAAGUGCAUGGUUAAAGUUAGUCCCCUUAUGUCUGUGUGGUUUGGGGUCUUUAGGCUGGGUACCAUGGACAACAGGAUGCUGGACUAGACUGCAGGAUUAAUCUGAUGGAGCAAGAUUAUUCUCAUGCUUUUAAAAACACAUCUAUGUACUUCAGCAAAUGGAGAGGAGGAGGAUUAACACAACUGCCACUCUAAAGCAGCUAUGGUUUAAGUGAAAUUAGAUCAGACUGGACAUUUUAAGCAACUUGAUCACUUAAAUAGGUCCAGGUAUACGCUCGCUCUGUGCAAUAAUGUUUUUACUGACUGUUAUGUUUAAAUUUAUAGGUUUUUCUAAUGUGGAAUUUUUAUUAUAAUGUUAUGUUAUUGUCAUUUUAUAUUUUUGAUACUAGUGAUGAAAUUGUGCCAUUGAAUGUUUGCCGUUUAUAUGUAUGUUAACCACCCUGAGUCCCUCUGGGGAAAGAGGGCGGUCUAGAAAUAAAGUAUUAAUUACUAUUAUUA